AUACGUAGGUGACAAGCGUUAUCCGGAUUUACUGGGUGUAAAGGGCGUGUAGGCGGUUUAGCAAGUCAGAAGUGAAAUUCCCGGGCUUAACUUGGGCGCUGCUUCUGAAACUGCUUUACUUGAGUGCUGGAGAGGAUAGUGGAAUUCCUAGUGUAGCGGUAAAAUGCGCAGAUAUUAGGAGGAACACCGGUGGCGAAGGCGGCUAUCUGGACAGUAACUGACGCUGAGGCGCGAAAGCACGGGGAGCAAACAGGAUUAGAUACCCUGGUAUUCCACGCCGUAAACGAUGAAUACUAGGUGUAGGGAGUAUCGACUCCCUCUGUGCCGCAGUUAACACAAUAAGUAUUCCGCCUGGGGAGUACGGCCGCAAGGUUGAAACUCAAAGGAAUUGACGGGG
rnacentral:rRNA from 1 species